UAGAUUAAGUUAUUAAGGGCGCACGGUGGAUGCCUUGGCACUAGAAGCCGAUGAAGGACGUUACUAACGACGAUAUGCUUUGGGGAGCUGUAAGUAAGCUUUGAUCCAGAGAUUUCCGAAUGGGGAAACCCAGCAUGAGUUAUGUCAUGUUAUCGAUAUGUGAAUACAUAGCAUAUCAGAAGGCACACCCGGAGAACUGAAACAUCUUAGUACCCGGAGGAAGAAAAAGAAAAUUCGAUUCCCUUAGUAGCGGCGAGCGAAACGGGAAGAGCCCAAACCAACAAGCUUGCUUGUUGGGGUUGUAGGACACUCUAUACGGAGUUACAAAGGACGACAUUAGACGAAUCAUCUGGAAAGAUGAAUCAAAGAAGGUAAUAAUCCUGUAGUCGAAAAUGUUGUCUCUCUUGAGUGGAUCCUGAGUACGACGGAGCACGUGAAAUUCCGUCGGAAUCUGGGAGGACCAUCUCCUAAGGCUAAAUACUCUCUAGUGACCGAUAGUGAACCAGUACCGUGAGGGAAAGGUGAAAAGCACCCCGGAAGGGGAGUGAAAUAGAACCUGAAACCGUGUGCUUACAAGUAGUCAGAGCCCGUUAAUGGGUGAUGGCGUGCCUUUUGUAGAAUGAACCGGCGAGUUACGAUUUGAUGCAAGGUUAAGCAGUAAAUGUGGAGCCGUAGCGAAAGCGAGUCUGAAUAGGGCGUUUAGUAUUUGGUCGUAGACCCGAAACCAGGUGAUCUACCCUUGGUCAGGUUGAAGUUCAGGUAACACUGAAUGGAGGACCGAACCGACUUACGUUGAAAAGUGAGCGGAUGAACUGAGGGUAGCGGAGAAAUUCCAAUCGAACCUGGAGAUAGCUGGUUCUCUCCGAAAUAGCUUUAGGGCUAGCCUCAAGUGAUGAUUAUUGGAGGUAGAGCACUGUUUGGACGAGGGGCCCCUCUCGGGUUACCGAAUUCAGACAAACUCCGAAUGCCAAUUAAUUUAACUUGGGAGUCAGAACAUGGGUGAUAAGGUCCGUGUUCGAAAGGGAAACAGCCCAGACCACCAGCUAAGGUCCCAAAAUAUAUGUUAAGUGGAAAAGGAUGUGGCGUUGCCCAGACAACUAGGAUGUUGGCUUAGAAGCAGCCAUCAUUUAAAGAGUGCGUAAUAGCUCACUAGUCGAGUGACACUGCGCCGAAAAUGUACCGGGGCUAAACAUAUUACCGAAGCUGUGGAUUGUCCUUUGGACAAUGGUAGGAGAGCGUUCUAAGGGCGUUGAAGCAUGAUCGUAAGGACAUGUGGAGCGCUUAGAAGUGAGAAUGCCGGUGUGAGUAGCGAAAGACGGGUGAGAAUCCCGUCCACCGAUUGACUAAGGUUUCCAGAGGAAGGCUCGUCCGCUCUGGGUUAGUCGGGUCCUAAGCUGAGGCCGACAGGCGUAGGCGAUGGAUAACAGGUUGAUAUUCCUGUACCACCUAUAAUCGUUUUAAUCGAUGGGGGACGCAGUAGGAUAGGCGAAGCGUGCGAUUGGAUUGCACGUCUAAGCAGUAAGGCUGAGUAUUAGGCAAAUCCGGUACUCGUUAAGGCUGAGCUGUGAUGGGGAGAAGACAUUGAGUCUUCGAGUCGUUGAUUUCACACUGCCGAGAAAAGCCUCUAGAUAGAAAAUAGGUGCCCGUACCGCAAACCGACACAGGUAGUCAAGAUGAGAAUUCUAAGGUGAGCGAGCGAACUCUCGUUAAGGAACUCGGCAAAAUGACCCCGUAACUUCGGGAGAAGGGGUGCUCUUUAGGGUUAACGCCCAGAAGAGCCGCAGUGAAUAGGCCCAAGCGACUGUUUAUCAAAAACACAGGUCUCUGCUAAACCGUAAGGUGAUGUAUAGGGGCUGACGCCUGCCCGGUGCUGGAAGGUUAAGAGGAGUGGUUAGCUUCUGCGAAGCUACGAAUCGAAGCCCCAGUAAACGGCGGCCGUAACUAUAACGGUCCUAAGGUAGCGAAAUUCCUUGUCGGGUAAGUUCCGACCCGCACGAAAGGCGUAACGAUUUGGGCACUGUCUCAACGAGAGACUCGGUGAAAUCAUAGUACCUGUGAAGAUGCAGGUUACCCGCGACAGGACGGAAAGACCCCGUGGAGCUUUACUGUAGCCUGAUAUUGAAAUUCGGCACAGCUUGUACAGGAUAGGUAGGAGCCUUUGAAACGUGAGCGCUAGCUUACGUGGAGGCGCUGGUGGGAUACUACCCUAGCUGUGUUGGCUUUCUAACCCGCACCACUUAUCGUGGUGGGAGACAGUGUCAGGCGGGCAGUUUGACUGGGGCGGUCGCCUCCUAAAAGGUAACGGAGGCGCUCAAAGGUUCCCUCAGAAUGGUUGGAAAUCAUUCAUAGAGUGUAAAGGCAUAAGGGAGCUUGACUGCGAGACCUACAAGUCGAGCAGGGUCGAAAGACGGACUUAGUGAUCCGGUGGUUCCGCAUGGAAGGGCCAUCGCUCAACGGAUAAAAGCUACCCCGGGGAUAACAGGCUUAUCUCCCCCAAGAGUUCACAUCGACGGGGAGGUUUGGCACCUCGAUGUCGGCUCAUCGCAUCCUGGGGCUGUAGUCGGUCCCAAGGGUUGGGCUGUUCGCCCAUUAAAGCGGUACGCGAGCUGGGUUCAGAACGUCGUGAGACAGUUCGGUCCCUAUCCGUCGUGGGCGUAGGAAAUUUGAGAGGAGCUGUCCUUAGUACGAGAGGACCGGGAUGGACAUACCUCUGGUGUACCAGUUGUCGUGCCAACGGCAUAGCUGGGUAGCUAUGUGUGGACGGGAUAAGUGCUGAAAGCAUCUAAGCAUGAAGCCCCCCUCAAGAUGAGAUUUCCCAACUUCGGUUAUAAGAUCCCUCAAAGAUGAUGAGGUUAAUAGGUUCGAGGUGGAAGCAUGGUGACAUGUGGAGCUGACGAAUACUAAUCGAUCGAAGACUUAAUCAA
rnacentral:rRNA from 1 species